rnacentral:rRNA from 1 species
CCUACGGGAGGCUGCAGUAGGGAAUCUUCCACAAUGGGCGAAAGCCUGAUGGAGCAACGCCGCGUGGGUGAAGAAGGUCUUCGGAUCGUAAAACCCUGUUGUUAGAGAAGAAAGUGCGUGAGAGUAACUGUUCACGUUUCGACGGUACCUAACCAGAAAGCCACGGCUAACUACGUGCCAGCAGCCGCGGUAAUACGUAGGUGGCAAGCGUUAUCCGGAUUUAUUGGGCGUAAAGGGCACGCAGGCGGUCUUUGAAGUCUAGUGUGAAAGCCUUGGGCUUAACCGGAGAAGUGCCUUGGAAACUGGGAGACUGGAGUGCGGGAGAGGAGAGUGGAACUCCAGGUGUAGCGGUGAAAUGCGUAGAUAUAUGGAAGAACACCAGUGGCGAAGGCGACUCUCUGGUCUGUAACUGACGCUGAGGUGCGAAAGCGUGGGUAGCAAACAGGAUUAGAUACCCAUGUAGUC